rnacentral:rRNA from 1 species
GCUGUUAAUCGGAWUUACUGGGCGUAAAMGCGCGCGUAGGUGGCUUGGUAAGUUGAAUGUGAAAAUCCCCGGKCUCAACCUGGGAACUGCAUCCAAAAACUGCCUGGCUAGAGUACGGUAGAGGGUGGURGAAAUUUCCUGUGUAGCGGUGAAAUGYGUAGAUAUAGGAAGGAACACCAGUGGCGAAGGCGWYCACCUGGWYUGAUACUSACACUKAGGUGCGAAAGCGUGGGGAGCAAACAGGAUUAGAUMCCCUGSUAGUCCACGCCGUAAACGAUGUCAACUAGCCGUUGGGGUCCUUGAGACUUUAGUGGCGCAGCUAACGCAWUAAGYYGACCGCYUGGGGAGUMCGGCCGCAAGGUUAAAMCUCAAAUGAAUYGWCGGGGGCCCSCACAAGCGGUGGAGCAUGUGGUUUAMUUYRAAGCAACGYGAAGAACCUUMCCWGKCCUUGACAUGCAGAGAACUUUCCAGAGAUGGAUUGGUGCCUUCGGGAACUMUGACACAGGUGCUGCAUGGCUGUYGUCAGCUCGUGUCGUGAGAUGUUGGGUUAAGUCCCGUAACGAGCGCAACCCUUGUCCUUAGUUACCAGCACAUCAUGGUGGGCACUYUAAGGAGACUGCCGGUGACAAACCGGAGGAAGGUGGGGAUGACGUCAAGUCAUCAUSGCCCUUACGGCCUGGGCUACACACGUGCUACAAUGGUCGGUMCAAAGGGUUGCCAARCCGCGAGGUGGAGCUAAUCCCAUAAAACCGAUCGUAGUCCGGAUCGCAGUCUGCAACUCGACUGCGUGAAGUCGGAAUCGCUAGUAAUCGUGAAUCAGAACGUCACGGUGAAUACGUUCCCGGGCCUUGUACMCACCGCCCGUCACACCAUGGGAGUGGGUUGCACCAGAAGUAGYUAGUCUAAC